UGAGCUGGGGGUGGCCGCAGAGACCAGCGAGAAGCGACUGUUUACUAAAAACACAGGUCCGUGCGAAGCCGUAAGGCGAUGUAUACGGACUGACGCCUGCCCGGUGCUGGAACGUUAAGGGGACCGGUUAGUCACAUUUCGGUGUGGCGAAGCUGAGAACUUAAGCGCCAGUAAACGGCGGUGGUAACUAUAACCAUCCUAAGGUAGCGAAAUUCCUUGUCGGGUAAGUUCCGACCUGCACGAAUGGCGUAACGACUUCUCGACUGUCUCAACCAUAGGCCCGGUGAAAUUGCACUACGAGUAAAGAUGCUCGUUUCGCGCAGCAGGACGGAAAGACCCCGGGACCUUUACUACAGUUUGAUAUUGGUGUUCGGUUCGGCUUGUGUAGGAUAGCUGGGAGACUGUGAAGCUCGGACGCCAGUUCGGGUGGAGUCGUCGUUGAAAUACCAGUCUGGUCGUGCUGGAUGUCUAACCUGGGUCCGUGAUCCGGAUCAGGGACAGUGUCUGAUGGGUAGUUUAACUGGGGCGGUUGCCUCCUAAAGAGUAACGGAGGCGCCCAAAGGUUCCCUCAGCCUGGUUGGCAAUCAGGUGGUGAGUGUAAGUGCACAAGGGAGCUUGACUGUGAGACCGACGGGUCGAGCAGGGACGAAAGUCGGGACUAGUGAUCCGGCGGUGGCUUGUGGAAGCGCCGUCGCUCAACGGAUAAAAGGUACCCCGGGGAUAACAGGCUGAUCUUCCCCAAGAGUCCAUAUCGACGGGAUGGUUUGGCACCUCGAUGUCGGCUCGUCGCAUCCUGGGGCUGGAGUCGGUCCCAAGGGUUGGGCUGUUCGCCCAUUAAAGCGGUACGCGAGCUGGGUUUAGAACGUCGUGAGACAGUUCGGUCCCUAUCCGCUGCGCGCGCAGGAAUAUUGAGAAGGGCUGUCCCUAGUACGAGAGGACCGGGACGGACGAACCUCUGGUGUGCCAGUUGUUCUGCCAAGGGCAUGGCUGGUUGGCUACGUUCGGGAGGGAUAACCGCUGAAAGCAUCUAAGCGGGAAGCCUGCUUCGAGAUGAGUAUUCCCACCCACUUGAUGGGGUAAGGCUCCCAGUAGACGACUGGGUUGAUAGGCCAGAUAUGGAAGCCUGGUAACGGGUGGAGUUGACUGGUACUAAUAGGCCGAGGGCUUGUCCUCAGUUG
rnacentral:rRNA from 1 species